GCUGGCGUGGCUCAGUGGAUAGAGCAUCGGCCUGCAGACUGAAGGAUUGCAGGUUAGAUUCCUGUCAAGGGCA
rnacentral:tRNA from 1 species